rnacentral:rRNA from 1 species
AUGGACCAGGAGUGCAACGCCCAAGACUUUGGCGUUUUCACGUCCAACAGCAACGCCACCAGUGAUUUUGACCCUGUGUCGGUAGAUGAACUGCUUGAUGCUGAUGAAAUCUUGUGCGCUGGAACUACUGCUGUUGUGGUGAGCAUUACGUACGGAUCAAGGGAAAAGGAUCUGGUGUCGCAGCAGCUACAAAUUCUGGUCGAUCGCGAUGCACAACAGAACAAUUUCUUUUUCUUUUCUUUUUUUUACAUCGAUGAACGUGCUAUUGGGCUGGGCCUGAUUGAUGAUGGGUUUUGGAAGCCUUGCCAGCCCAACAGGAUGGAGUUCUUCCGACUCGCGUCGUGUGCAAGACUACAAGUGCAACACGUACGCUGCAGCCGCCGUCAAAUCCUAGGCCCUAGCGGAAGCCGGCGCAGAAACACUCGGGUCAUGGAUCAUCUCCUGGACGAGCUGCUCGUCGACAUCCUCCGCCGCCUCCCGCCGCGGGGCGUCGCGGCGUGCCGGACCGUCUGCAAGGGGUGGCGCGCCGCCGUGGACGCCGGAGGGUUGCUGCUGGCCGUGGCGGCCCGCGCGCCGCGUCCCAUGCGGGGCAUCUUCGUCAAAUUCUCCGGCGACGGCCAGAAGCGCCCCUACCUCUUCUCCCGCGGACCGACGGCGAACCCCAGCAUCGCCGUUGACGCCUGCGCGCUCGACUUCAUGCACCGCCUGUGCCGCGGCUACCCGUGGGAGACCAUCCUCGACCACCGCAACGGCCUCCUCCUCGUGAACGGUCCGCAGAUGUACGUGUGCAACCCCGCGACAUGCCGGUGGGCGGAGCUUCCGCCGCGGCCCUAUCGUUGGUGGAGCGCGGCGUGCCUCGUCUUCGACCCCGUCGUGUCCCUGCACUACCACGUGCUCCUCUUGCGAAAUACAGGCAAGGGGCCAUCUGCGCUCAUAGUACAAGUGUACUCGUCGAGAACUGGCCGAUGGGAGGCGCAGCCUUUUAUCCGGGAAGGAAAUGCUGCUACGAUCGCCAAGUGGUCGGCUCAACUUGGAGAUCCGAGGCGCCGUGGCGCCGUGUACUGGCGAGGAGCACUCUACCUUAAUUGUUCUAGCAAUCUCAUCAUAAGGCUUUCGUUGGACAAGAAGACUUAUUUAGUCAUCAAAACCCCCGAAAUAAUGAUGGCGGCUAGUGAGUACUCUAUCGCUAACAAGCCUAUAGUAUAUCUCGGGAAGUCGGAACAUGGAGUCUACUACACCACUAUCUAUGAGUGCCAACUCCAAGUAUGGGUACUACUCGAACCAUCCGAGUCAUCUUCAAUGCAUGAGUGGGUGUUAAAGCACCGCUCCAACCUUACGUCUUGUGUUCGGCAACACUACAACGAACAAUACAGUGAAGGAGAAAAGACCGACAAGUCAUGUACCAGAGGACAUUGUGAAUGGGAAUUUAUCGGCGCCGGUAAACAAAGGGAAGGUCGAGGAUACUAUUAUGGCGAUGGACACAUAGAGUUGUUGGGGUACCAUCCAUACAAAGAGAUUGCAUUUUUGGGCAUCAAUAAGUCCGACGGAUUUGCUUACUAUUUGGGUACCUCCGAGUUGCGGUACUUGGGAUCAAUUUCCCCAACAGGACAUCCUGGUUCAGAAGUGGCAAACAUACAAGAAUCGUUCAUCUACACUCCUUGCAAGGAUGACCUUCUUCCUAAUCAUGAAGACUUGACUAUUAAGGACCCAACUACACAGCGGCGCACUCAAAAGGCCAGGAGAAAAGGCAUGCGAGGAGCAGCGGCUGAGCAUGUUGCCCAUGCGUCGAGGGCUGGCCAUCUCACGAGGAAAACGUCCCACCACGUAACCUGCCGCCCCCCUGCUACGAUCCCCAAUGCUACGCUCCCCUGGCCGCACGAUAGAGACCCCACGUGCCCCACGCCACCGCAGGAUCGAGACCGCGUGCGUCCCACCCGCCGCACGGGAGAGACCGGCUGCGCACGCUACAAAAAACAGAGAGUGUUGGCGAUUGGGUCCGAUCAAGUUGGGCCGGCCCAACUUGGCAGAUCAAGCACUUUAUCAAUUGAGAGAGGAGUCCAGCCCAUCCACCGUAGGAGUCGAGGAGCCGCCUCCCUGUCUUCCUCUCUGCUCUGGCGAUGUUACAGCAUGGACCCAAUAGAGAUUCUGAAUGUUAGGUUUCAUUUUGGAGGGGAUUUCAUCCAAAUUGGUCGACAAUUGGACUAUGUUGGGGGUGAUGAGGGGGUGUCAGAGAUUGAGAGAGACAAGCUCUCUUUGCAGGAGGUCAAAGGGUUUUUGAAAGAUCAUAUGGAACUGAAGGAAUCAAUGAAAUUCUACUUUCAUAUUCCUGGGACUGAAUUGGUUGAUGGUUUGGUGUUCUUGGAUGAUGACAGUAAAUGUGUGAAGAUGGGGGAUUAUAUUUGUGUUGGUGCUGUUGCACAUAUUUAUGUUGAGUACCAUGGGGAACAGGACAGUGCAGACAACAGCAGUUGCAGUGAUUUUGAGGAUGAACUUGUGCAGUUAAGUGAUGCUCCACCUGCCAUUGUCACUGCUGAAGCUACUGACAGUGAAGAAGAAGUGCAAGUUGUUGAGAAUGUCACUGCUGAAGCUAGUGACAGUGAAGAAGUGUUAGCAAAUGUUCAGAAUAUCAUGGUUCCUGAUGACACAGGGGUCAUCUCCCAAAUCAUUGUCAGUCCAGUGAAGCAGAGAAGGGGAAGAACUAAUGUAGUUGAAAGUGAGCUAGUUGAAGAUGAAUUUGCAGUGUCACAAAUUUGCAAUCCAAGUCAAGCUGGUCCUGCUACUUCACAACAUGUGGCUGAUGAUGACACUGACACUGAAUAUAUGCCACACAGUGAGGACAAUGGUGAAGAUUCAGAAGUGGUAGAGCUUAGAAGGCAUGCAAGAAAAUUCAAGAAAAGGAUGAGAGAAACAAAAAGCUGGAUUGGAAGAGAUACAAGUGAAGCAGUUCCAAUAAAUUCGAUUGCAAAUAUGGAGGAGCAGCUAGAAGGAGAGGAGAAGGAGUGGAACUUUGAUUCCUCUGAUGAGGAUUACUCCUAUGGUGAGGAUUCUGAUGGAGAGCCAGAGAGGAUGAAGAGCCAGUUUCCUAGAUUCAACAAUGACAGUGAAAUUCCAAACUUCCAGUUGUCAAUGGUCUUCAGAAGCAAAGAUCAACCAACAACAUAG